rnacentral:misc_RNA from 1 species
UCCGGCUUAACGCCGGCAGUCCCGUUAGAGUGCCCAACUGAAUGCUGGCAACUAACAGCGAGGGUUGCGCUCGUUGCGGGACUUAACCCAACAUUUCACAACACGAGCUGACGACAGCCAUGCAGCACCUGUCACUGAGUUCCCCGAAGGGCACUCCUCUAUCUCUAGAGGAUUCUCAGGAUGUCAAACCUGGGUGAGGUUCUGCGCGUUGCUUCGAAUUAAACCACAUGAUCCACCGCUUGUGCGGGCCCCCGUCAAUUCCUUUGAGUUUUAGCCUUGCGGCCGUAAUCCCCAGGCGGAGCACUUAACGCGUUAGCUACGAUACUGCGAGGGUCAAAACCCGCAACAUCUAGUGCUCAUCGUUUACAGCGUGGACUAC